rnacentral:rRNA from 1 species
UACGUAGGUGACAAGCGUUGUCCGGAUUUACUGGGCGUAAAGAGCGCGCAGGCGGUCGUUCAAGUCGAGUGUGAAAGCCCCCGGCUCAACUGGGGAGGGUCAUUCGAUACUGAUCGACUCGAAGGCAGGAGAGGGUAGUGGAAUUCCCGGUGUAGUGGUGAAAUGCGUAGAUAUCGGGAGGAACACCAGUGGCGAAGGCGACUACCUGGCCUGUUUCUUGACGCUGAGGCGCGAAAGCUAGGGGAGCAAACGGG